UUAGAUACCCUGGUAGUCCACACAGUAAACGAUGAAUACUCGCUGUUUGCGAUAUACGGCAAGCGGCCAAGCGAAAGCAUUAAGUAUUCCACCUGGGGAGUACGCCGGCAACGGUGAAACUCAAAGGAAUUGACGGGGGCCCGCACAAGCGGAGGAACAUGUGGUUUAAUUCGAUGAUACGCGAGGAACCUUACCCGGGCUUAAAUUGCACCUGAAUAACGUGGAAACAUGUUAGCCGCAAGGCAGGUGUGAAGGUGCUGCAUGGUUGUCGUCAGCUCGUGCCGUGAGGUGUCGGCUUAAGUGCCAUAACGAGCGCAACCCUUAUCUUCAGUUACUAACAGGUUAUGCUGAGGACUCUGGAGAGACUGCCGUCGUAAGAUGUGAGGAAGGUGGGGAUGACGUCAAAUCAGCACGGCCCUUACGUCCGGGGCUACACACGUGUUACAAUGGGGGGUACAGAAGGCCGCUACCUGGUGACAGGAUGCUAAUCCCAAAAACCUCUCUCAGUUCGGAUCGAAGUCUGCAACCCGACUUCGUGAAGCUGGAUUCGCUAGUAAUCGCGCAUCAGCCAUGGCGCGGUGAAUACGUUCCCGGGCCUUGUACACACCGCCCGUCAAGCCAUGAAAGCCGGGGGUACCCUGAAGUACGUAACCGCAAAGAGCGUCCUAGGGUAAAACUGGUAAUUGGGGCCUAAUCCUAACAAGUAACCCGAAUCCAGC
rnacentral:rRNA from 1 species